rnacentral:rRNA from 1 species
GACGAACGCUGGCGGCGUGCUUAACACAUGCAAGUCGAACGGAAAGGCCCUGCUUUUGUGGGGUGCUCGAGUGGCGAACGGGUGAGUAACACGUGAGUAACCUGCCCUUGACUUUGGGAUAACUUCAGGAAACUGGGGCUAAUACCGGAUAGGAGCUCCUGCUGCAUGGUGGGGGUUGGAAAGUUUCGGCGGUUGGGGAUGGACUCGCGGCUUAUCAGCUUGUUGGUGGGGUAGUGGCUUACCAAGGCUUUGACGGGUAGCCGGCCUGAGAGGGUGACCGGGAGCAGGGGGACGGAGGGAGGGCGCAGACGGGCACGGGGGGCAGGGGGGGGGGGGGGGGAAGAGUGGGGGGGCGUGGGAGGCAGAAUGGGCGUGGGCGGAAUGGGGGGUGGCGGGGGAAAAAAAGAAAGAGCCGGUGACGGAGAGUGAGUGACGGUAAUGGAUACAGAAGCACCGGCUAACUACGUG